UAGAGUUUGAUCCUGGCUCAGGAUGAACGCUAGCGGCAGGCCUAAUACAUGCAAGUCGAGGGGUAAAUAUGUAGCAAUAUAUAUGAGACCGGCGCACGGGUGCGUAACACGUAUGCAACCUACCUUUUACUGGGGCAUAGCUCAGAGAAAUCUGAAUUAAUUCCCCAUAACACUGCACUUCGGCAUCGGAGAGCAGUUAAAGCUCCGGCGGUAAAAGAUGGGCAUGCGGAACAUUAGCUAGUUGGUGAGGUAAUGGCUCACCAAGGCUACGAUGUUUAGGGGGUCUGAGAGGAUGAUCCCCCACACUGGUACUGAGACACGGACCAGACUCCUACGGGAGGCAGCAGUAGGGAAUAUUGGUCAAUGGACGCAAGUCUGAACCAGCCAUGCCGCGUGCAGGAUGAAUGUCCUAUGGAUUGUAAGCUGCUUUUAUAUGGGAAGAAACCCCUGGAUGCGUCCGGGGCUGACGGUACCAUUUGAAUAAGGAUCGGCUAACUUCGUGCCAGCAGCCGCGGUAAGACGAAGGAUUCAAGCGUUGUCCGGAUUUACUGGGUUUAAAGGGUGCGUAGGCGGAAAGCUAAGUCAGUGGUGAAAGCCCGCAGCUCAACUGCGGAACUGCCAUUGAAACUGGCCUUCUUGAAUACAGUGGAGGUAGAUGGAAUAUAACAUGUAGCGGUGAAAUGCUUAGAUAUGUUAUAGAACACCGAUUGCGAAGGCAGUCUGCUACACUGUCAUUGACGCUGAGGCACGAAAGCGUGGGGAGCGAACAGGAUUAGAUACCCUGGUAGUCCACGCCCUAAACGUUGAUUACUCGCUGUUGGCGAUACACUGUCAGCGGCUAAGCGAAAGCGUUAAGUAAUCCACCUGGGAAGUACGUCCGCAAGGAUGAAACUCAAAGGAAUUGACGGGGGCCCGCACAAGCGGAGGAGCAUGUGGUUUAAUUCGAUGAUACGCGAGGAACCUUACCUGGGCUUAAAUGUCAAGUGACCGCUGCCGAAAGGCGGCUUCCCUUCGGGGCAAUUGGCAAGGUGCUGCAUGGCUGUCGUCAGCUCGUGCCGUGAGGUGUUGGGUUAAGUCCCGCAACGAGCGCAACCCCCAUCUUUAGUUGCCAUCAGGUUAUGCUGGGGACUCUAAAGAAACUGCCUACGUAAGUAGUGAGGAAGGCGGGGACGACGUCAAGUCAUCAUGGCCCUUACGUCCAGGGCUACACACGUGCUACAAUGGUUGGUACAAAGGGUUGCUACACAGCGAUGUGAUGCUAAUCUCAAAAAGCCGAUCGUAGUCCGGAUUGGAGUCUGCAACUCGACUCCAUGAAGUCGGAAUCGCUAGUAAUCGCGGAUCAGAAUGCCGCGGUGAAUACGUUCCCGGGCCUUGUACACACCGCCCGUCACACCAUGGGAGUUUGUUGCACCAGAAGUAGGUAGUCUAACCGCAAGGAGGACGCUUACCACGGUGUGGCCGAUGACUGGGGUGAAGUCGUAACAAGGUAACCUCAGUCAGUCA
rnacentral:rRNA from 1 species